AGAGUUUGAUCCUGGCCUUAGGCAAACGCUGGCGGCGUGCCUAACGACAUGCAAGUCGAACGAAGCAGCGGGGAAAGAGACUUCGGUCAAUGGAACCGUUGACUUAGUGGCGGAACGGGUGAGUAAUGCAUGAGCAACCUGCCCUGGAGAGGGGGACAACAGCUGGAAACGGCUGCUAAUACCGCAUGAAGUUAUUGGGAGGCAUCUCCCGGUAACCAAAGAUUUAUCGCUCUGGGAUGGGCUCAUGUCUGAUUAGAUAGUUGGCGGGGCAACGGCCCACCAAGUCUACGAUCAGUAGCCGGACUGAGAGGUUGAACGGCCACAUUGGACUGAGAUACGGCCCAGACUCCUACGGGAGGCAGCAGUGGGGAAUAUUGGGCAAUGGGCGCAAGCCUGACCCAGCAACGCCGCGUGAAGGAAGAAGGCUUUCGGGUUGUAAACUUCUUUUAUCAGGGACGAAGUAGUGACGGUACCUGAUGAAUAAGCCACGGCUAACUACGUGCCAGCAGCCGC
rnacentral:rRNA from 1 species